AUGGCAAUGGCACAGGCAGGGGACGAGCACAGCCGUGUCGCUGGGGUGGGACACAGGGACCAGCGUCACCCUGACACUGGGGUGGGACACAGGGAUCACCCUGACACUGGGAUGGGACACAGGGACCACCCUGUCACUGGGAUGGGACACAGGGACCACCCUGUCACUGGGGUGGGACACAGGGACCCUUCUGACACUGGGGUGGGACACAGGGACUGUUCUGUCACUGAGAUGGGACACAGGGACCACCCUGACACUGGGAUGGGACACAGGGACCACCCUGUCACUGGGGUGGGAUGCAGGGACCAGCAUCACCCUGACACUGGGAUGGGAUGCAGGGACUGUUCUGUCACUGGAGUGGGACACAGGGACUGUUCUGUCACUGGGGUGGGACACAGGGACCCUUCUGUCACUGGGGUGGGACACAGGGACUGUUCUGUCACUGGGGUGGGACACAGGGACCACCCUGUCACUGAGAUGGGACACAGGGACCACCCUGUCACUGGGGUGGGACACAGGGACCCUUCUGUCACUGGGGUGGGAUGCAGGGACCCUUCUGACACUGGGAUGGGAUGCAGGGACCCUUCUGACACUGGGAUGGGAUGCAGGGACUGUUCUGUCACUGGGGUGGGAUGCAGGGACCAGCAUCCCCCUGUCACUGGGAUGGGACGCACACUGGCGUGCCAGGAGCUUUCCCAGGAGGAAAACAGCUUCUCCCACCCAGCACCGACACCCCAAGGCCCCUUUGUGUCCAGGGAUGGUGCUGGAGCUGGGACCUGCCCUGAAGCCCACUGGAUCCCCAGGUUUGAGCAGCCUCAGGAGUUUUCCCUUGGGAGGGAUCUGCUGCCGCCUCCUCCUCCUCCUCCUCCUCCUCCCCCUCCCAUCCGUGGCUCUGCAGAAUCCUGUCACAGCCCCUGCGUGACCCGCCGUGGCACCGUGCCCGUGGAAAGCUGCAAACCCGACCCUCAGCUGCCAAAACAGCGUCAGAAAAAUCAGGAAAUCAGGUGCAAAUAG
rnacentral:lncRNA from 1 species